AUUUAAAUAGCUUAUAAAGAGCAUAGUAUUGAAGAUACUAAGGAAAUUCAGAAUUUUUAAAUA
rnacentral:tRNA from 1 species